GUGGGACUCUGAAUCUUCAGGGACCAGCAAAAUUCUUGGUGAUAUCAAGGCUUGUGGAUCAAAUGAUUAUCAGAAGACCAAGGAGUCAAGAAGAAAUAGCUACAGAAGAUAGAAAGGACCAAGUUUAAUCUUCCUGUAAAUUCUAAAUCCUGCAAUGUACACAUCAGACUGAACAUACAAGAUUAAAAGGUAACUGCCUCUACUGAAGAAGGGAGAGUCAAUAGCCUUUGGAAAGAUGCUCAGGAGGGAAUCAGGUGGGGGAAGAGAGAGAAAGAGAGGAGAUAUUGAUGAGAGGAACGCCUAGUACACCAGACCCACUAGUUCAGAGAUAUGUUAGGGAUGUUGCCUCCAUCCUCUCUCCUAACUCUCAUAUUGACUCAUAAGAGCAAACAAAAGCCACACUUGACAAAUGGGAUCUAAUU
rnacentral:lncRNA from 1 species